CAGGUUCAGUUGGACAUUUUAUUCAUUUCUAAUCCUCUAGACUUCCUUCAUGACAUCAAGGAUAUUGUAAUAAUUUUCUAACCUACAUGACUCCUUAGGGCUAGGUUACAAUGAUUACAUUCCAAGUACUUCUAGAAACACAAGGGCGCUCAGGGAGGAAUCAGAAGGAACUGACACCAAACCUGCCAUUUAAGAGAUCAUCUGCAGAGAAAAGAACACUGGCCACCAGGAAUGAAUUUGGGGAAGCUUGUUAUAGAGGCGGCAUUCUAAAGAUGUUCGUAUUAGUUCCUUGUUGAUGUAACAAAUUACCACAAAUUUAGUGGCUUAAAGCAACAUAAAAUCAUUAUCCUUAUAGUUCUGCAGAUCAGAAAUCUGAAAUGCUUUUCACUGUGAUAAAAUCAAGGACCUGGCAGGUGUUUGCCCUUCUCCUGGAGAUUCAGUCCUUGAAAGAGUUCUUUCCUUUCUUUCCCCAGCUUCCAGAGGCCACCUAUACUGUUUGGUUUUGGCACCUCGUCAAAGCUAUCAGUGUAGCACCUUUCAUUCUCUCUCAGACUUGGACCCUCUACCCCUUUCUUGAAUUAUAAGGAAUAUUGUCCUUAUCCUCACGCUACCCACCUAAUGCACCAUAAUCUCCCCUUCUCAACAACCUUAAUUUAAUCACAUCUACAAAAUUCCCAUUGCCAUGUAAGAUAACCAAUUUAUAGGUUCUGAGGAUUGGGACAUGGACACCUUUGGAUGACCAUUAUCCUGCCCAUUGUAAUUCAGUCAAACACUAAUCUAUAUACUCAUGUAAAUGCUUCAGAUAUGGAAUUAAGGCUAAAUAUCAGCUGAACAUAAAAUAUGGAUAUAAUCUUGGAUUAUCCUGGAUAUUGCUAGUUAGGCUACUUGAUUAUUAUUUUUCGAUUGCUCUUUAAACCAUAUUAAUAUAUAUGUGGGGUUUUGCACAAUAGACAUCAAAUAAGUUCUCUAUAUUUGCUCAUGUCUUCCUAGGACUAAUGGGAAAUGCGCGUGCACACACACACACACACAUAUAAUUUA